rnacentral:sRNA from 1 species
AGUUGGAUGCUGAAACUUGCAGUCACACAAGGACUUGAACCUAGAGCUUUUCUAAAGCCCGUACUCUUUCCAGUACCCUGAGCCAGGGGAGCCAGCGGGCAGAAAUGACGUGUGAGGUACCCUCUUUCCCUUCACUUCCAUGUGAUCUGUUACUCAUUUUGUCAAGACAUCCUGGGUCCCAGAGACCACUCUUAUUCCCAGGUGUGUGACCUCCUCCUACAGAGUACAGUGGGAAAGACACCAUCUCCAGGUGCCAGGUGCUACACAAGAUACUGGCUAUAGCAGCGAACAGGACAGCCCGUCUCAUCCUCAUGGAGGUCACAGGACAAUGAGAAGAAAGACUUUUUUAUUUUUAUUUUUUUGAGACGGAGUUUUGCUCUUGUUGCCGAGGCUGGAGUGCAGUGGUGUGAUCUCGACUCACUGCAACCUCCGCCUCCCAAGUUCAAGCAAUUAUCCUGCCUCAGGCCUCUUGAGUAGCUGGGAUUACAGGCACCUGCCACCACUCCUGGCUAAUUUUUUGUAUUUUUAGUAGAGACAGGGGUUUCAUCAUGUUGGCCAGGCUGGUCUCGAACUCCUGACCUCAGGUGAUCCACCCACCUCGGCCUCCCAAAGUGCAGGGAUUACAGGCAUGAGCCAUCGAACCCGGCCCAAGAAGAAAGACAUUGAACAAGUAAUUACAGGGUAUUGGGUGUUAUGAAAGAAAAGCAUGGUACUGUAUAAUGAGGUCAUCUAAUUUAGUCUGGGGUGACAAGGAAUGCCUACUAAAGAAGGUAUCGUUUAAGACAUACCUGGGGAAUAGCGGUAGUGAAAAUAGAAGCUCCAGAAAUGCAGGGACCAUGGCUGACAUGUUUACCAUGCCAGUGUCUGGCAUGGAAGAGGCCCAAUUCCUUUGGUUGAAAGGAUGAAGUAAUCUAGCUGAAUAAAGGGUGUGUGCGUGCACGCAGGUGUGUUUGUAGUUAACCUUCCUUUAGCUCAGCUUAGGAAACAGCUUUUGUAAAACUGCGUAACUAGUAGUAGGUGAGAGAGGAAUACGAAUGAUAUACACACCAUUAAAGACAACUUACUAACAGCAUGA